rnacentral:lncRNA from 1 species
AAAAAAAGAUGCCUUGAGGUUCCGGGGGAUUGAAAAUUGACUGUUUAAUCUUUGUCGUCUUCUUCUUCAUGUAAGUCAUGGUUGAGACGUCAUCAUGAAUGGACAGGAGCGUAGAGUCGUGUGGAAAUGAAGCCCCUUUUCUUUUCUGGGUGCAUAUUUCAGCCAAACUUUGUUCGUGCUUGUUUUUUUCCAUCAGACUUUCAAUAAUUACAUCUUCAUAUUAAUAUUUAGUCUUCACGCCUCUUGGAAAAGGUUUGUCUUUGGUGGAUCUGGUUUGAACCUUCUUCUCCCAGUUUGUGGUCACAAAUUCAAGGAUGAAAAGAAUUGGUUUCCAUGGAAAUAUAUACAAAUUCAACGUCUGAAUAUUUUAAUAUUAAUAUUGAUAUCACUGAUCAUUUCAUACGACUAUUUGGUUCAUAACCAACAAAUGAUGGUCUAGCCAUAAUUUUUCCCCGUACUGCCGAGGUUUUUUUUUUAUAAAAUGGUCUAGCCAGAACUUAUUACAUACUUAAGAUAAAGAUUAUGAUCACUUACUUUCUUAAUUAUUUGUUAUCAAAGCUUAAAAUAUUGCUCUCCCCUUUGUUACAAAAUCAGGUGUUCAGAAAUACACAUCGUGUACCUUCUUAUGACACGUCCCGACCCCGAUAUUCCCUGAUUAUCAGAAUAGGCACGUGUUGCCCGACACUCGAGGGUGACGAAAGCCAUUUAUUGAGUGCAAAUGCUGAAAACAAGGGAUAGAUAAAACUUAUAAAUGUAAAAUAAUAAGGAAUAUGCAUUUAAGGAACGUGUUCAGAGCACACAUCUAAUCUAGAACACUAAAAGAAUUAAUAUAAAAAUUGAAUGAACACAGAAGUGGGUCUUACACCGAGAGGACUCGAAGAUACCGAUGCAGAAGUGCCUGGAUGUCAGGAUUGUAUGCCUCGAUUCUAAGUCAUGAAGGGAGCGCAAAACAAACAUGAGUGGACCAAUUUGAUAUAUAAAUAGUAAAACAGUUAUCAACGUACUAACCCCCAGGUUUUAUGAAAACACAUAUAUAAUGAUAAACAUAGGUUUUCCGAAACCUAGCAUGCCGUGCAAAAUCUCAAAUCAUAACUUGUAUAUAUAAUAAUCACUAGUGAAUUGUCCGAUAACCCCUAGGCCCCAUGUCGGCUCCCCGUCUCUGAGCAGACAGUCAGAGGAAAAUACACUUCAGGCCCCAUGCCGGCUCCCCGUUCCUAUGCUAAAUAGCCAAAAGAAACACACUCCAGGCCCUAUGCCAACAUCAAACCAUCGCCCGGGACGGACCGGAAUCUAUCCCUAUGUCCCGUAGCGGAAAGGACCACUAGGUAAAUACAAAACCAUUGAACAUAUAUAUAUUGAAAAGCAACUUCAUAGUAUAAAGUCAUCCAUCAUCUAUACUAUAAAGAGGUGUUCGAAACAUGUUCUAAAUAUUAUAUCGUCAUCUACCGGAUAUUCUAUAAGAACAUGGGUUAUAGGAAAAAUAGUAAUAAUUCAAACUAGCCUUAGUAAGCAUGUUAUCUUAAAGUGUUUCAUAAAACGUAAUCAUUAAAUCAUGUUUUUCAUGUAUACAUUUCUACUAUUAAAACAUGCAUUUUUAGAAGGGGUCCACUCACCGUACACCGAUGGUGCAAAGCUGUACCAAAAAGGUAUAGCGGAAUCACCGCUAAUAAUUGCACAUAUUCACAUAAAGGAGUACCUUUAGUCAAACUAUAUUUAAACGAUUGAAUUUGAGAAAACGGACUUCAAAAACGGGUCCAGGACGUCGAAAUUAGCUUAUGAAAGGUCCUGGACAAAACCCUGAAAAGUCAAUUAAAAAAUCAACGUUGAUUGUUGACCGGUCAACUUCAAAGUCAACUCUGACAGUUGACCGAGUCAACGUUGACCGUUGACCAAGUCAACAGUCAAGGUCAACUGGUCAAAUGUCAAAGUCAAAUUUGGGCUUAGAUUGGGUUGGGCUAAAAAGGCCUUAGGGGUUUUGGGUUUUAAACUAAGGGUUAAUGGGUUUGGAAACUCAUAUUGGCCCAAGGCCUAAUCUGCUUGGUUCUAUACACACACACACACGGGCCUAAUGCCCUAAAUAGAAAAUGGCCCAAGGCCUUAUUUCUAUAACAGAAACUAAAAAGGUUUUUAGGUUGGGCUAGAGGGCUACGGGCCCUAAUCCUAAUGGCCCGAAGGCCUUUUAGGUCCUAAACUAAUUAAUUAAAAACAAAAGAAAAACAAAUGGGUUAGGGGGAUUGGGCUAGGCUCACCACACGGGCCUAAGGCCCGCUUGACUCAGAAACGGCUUGGAGGGCCUGGUUUCGUCGGAGAACAACGGAGCUUCAACAGCUCCGGCCGACCACCACACGCAACCCUAGACCUCGAUCUAGGUAUCAAAACGAAGAGCAAGACAAAGGGAGUAACUAUAUACCUUCCUUUCGUCGUGGAACGGCCGGAGAUGGCCGGAAUCUCCCCUUACACCCUCAGGAUCGCCGGAGAUGGGUGUGCCUACACCCGAGGUGAUUUCGUUCUAAAAACCUCCAAAAACACACAUAAAACUCAAUUAAAAAACCCAACCCACAAGAUUCUAGGAUGAAAUAGGGAAUAUUUGAGGCUUACCUAACCGGGAAAUAGGAAAUCUCGCCAGAAUUCCUUUUCCGGUUUUCUGGGUUUGCAGCACGGGAAAGAGGAAAAAGAAGGAUGAGAUUGAUGGUGAUGAUGGUCUUCCUCGCACAGGGGAAAUGGUGUGCGUGUGUGUGCUUGCGGUGGAGAGAAGAGAGAUAUGAGAGAGAGCCGAGAGGGAAAGAGACAGGACAGACAGAAACGAAGAAGAAGAAGGAAUGGGGGUUCACCGGGGGGGGACAGAGGGAGAAGUGAGGUGAGUGAAGGGGGUGCUGCCAC